CAAGGCAGCGUGCAGAAGUUUCUCUUUUCAUGAGUGAGCUGAUAAAGCGUGUCACACCAGGAUCAUUAUAUAACCUGCAAGCUGUUGAACAGAGUACAGAUUGCACUCUCUUCUUCCUCCACAUUGAGACACACUUCUCCUAUCAUUGCUCGCAGCUGAAGGAUCGCCUCUUGAGCCGAAGUCUGCAGCUCCUUCACCACCUACAGACGGAGGAGGAGGAGGUGUGCUGUCAGUGAACGGCCAUACAUAAAGCAAUCCAGUACUCAUGUGCUCCCUGCAGACCGGAUGUCUGCCUGUCUGGAUGUUUACAGGAUUUAUGAGACUUGAAGUCCACUUUUUCCCCCUCAUCCUGUGUUAUUUUGGCACACUGCACUGUCUCCUCAGCAUCCGCAUUGUUGUCGACCAGGAACUUCAGCAGACGGUCCUCUGGUGGGAGGGAGCUAUUCCCUUUUACUAUGGAUGGAUAACUGUGGCCAAGACAGACAUUCAGGCAGCCUGAGAAAAGUCUGACAUUUAUUUCAAAAAUAGUUAUACUUGCAACAAGUAUCUGUUUUAUUCUUCACGUUGAUGUAUGCCAGAAAUAUUUAAAAUGACUCGAUCUGAUAAAAACUAAGAAUGAAAGUGAAGUAACAAGAAGAAGA